rnacentral:rRNA from 1 species
UACGGAGGUUGCAAGCGUAAUUCGGAAUUACUGGGCGUAAAGCGCACGUAGGCCGCUUUGUAAGUCAGGGGUGAAAUCCCACGGCUCAACCGUGGAACUGCCCUUGAAACUGCGAAGCUUGAAUCCUGGAGAGGGUGGCGGAAUUCCUGGUGUAGGAGUGAAAUCCGUAGAUAUCAGGAGGGACCCUGGUGGCGAAGGCGGCCACGUGGACAGGUAUUGACGCUGAGGUGCGAAAGUGUGGGGAGCAAACAGG